rnacentral:rRNA from 1 species
AUGCUUUUAUUUGAACCUGACGAUCAUAGUAUCGCCUCGAUAAAGUUGCUGCUCCUCGCUUUUGAGAUCCUGUCGGGGCUUAAGAUCAAUUUCCUUAAAAGCGAAGUGAUCACCAUUGGGAUGGUGGAUCAUGAGAGUACUCGGGUGGCCAACUUGCUCAAUUGCAAGAACGGGAGAUUCCCGAUCAAAUACCUUGGCCUCCCGAUCUCUCACAAGAACCUCACCAUUGCGGACUGGGCGCCACUUUAUGGCAAAGUGGUUAAUCGGGUUAGCCCAUGGCGCGGGAGGUUUAUGUCCUCAAUGGCUAGACUUAUCUUAACUAACUCGAGCCUGUCCUCGCUACCCCUUUUCACAAUGGGGAUGUUUUUGCUUGCAGACGGUGUUCAUGCCAAACUUGACACGCCGCGCUCCCGAUUCUUUUGGAAAGGAACCGGGACUAAACGAAAGUACCACUUGGUGAAAUGGGCAGCGGUUUGCAGACCUAAAUUUUUUGGUGGUUUGGGGAUCAUGAACUCUAAAUUAAUGAAUGUUGCACUGCUCACCAAGUGGUGGUGGCGCCUUGCCCAAAAUGAGUCAGGACUCUGGGCGGAGAUCCUCCAUGCGAAAUAUUUCCCGGAUGGAAAUCUUUUCAAGGCCAAGGCCAAGGGCUCCGCAUUUUGGAACGGGAUCCAAGCGGUGAGGCCGGCUUUCUCGGUGGGAGCUCGUUUCAACGUGAAUAAUGGCUCAUCCACACGGUUUUGGCUCGACUGUUGGUGGGGCCAUUUACUGCUGUGGCAAUCUCACCCCGAGCUAUACCAAUUGGCCACGGACACUAAAUCUUGGUGGCUGAUGCCUUGCACGUGCAUCCCCCGGCGAUCUCCUUCUUCAGGAUGCUGGAGGCAGGAGAGGCUGCCUCCUGGGGUGCACUCGUGGCGGACCUCGAGGGGAGGACUCUCAGCCAGGAUAGUGAUGCUAUAA